rnacentral:rRNA from 1 species
UAAUACUGGAUAACAACACUAGACGCAUGUCUAGAGUUUGAAAGUAUGGUUCUGCUAUCACUCUUGGAUGGACCUGCGGUGCAUUAGCUAGGUUGGUAAGGUAACGCUUACCAAGGCAAUGAUGCAUAGCCGAGUUGAGAGACUGAUCGGCCACAUUGGGACUGAGACACGGCCCAAACUCCUACGGGAGGCAGCAGUAGGGAAUCUUCCACAAUGGACGAAAGUCUGAUGGAGCAACGCCGCGUGAGUGAAGAAGGGUUUUCGGCUCGUAAAGCUCUGUUGGUAGUGAAGAAAGAUAGAGGUAGUAACUGGCCUUUAUUUGACGGUAAUUACUUAGAAAGUCACGGCUAACUACGUGCC